AGAGUUUGAUCAUGGCUCAGGAUGAACGCUGGCGGCGUGCCUAACACAUGCAAGUCGAACGAAGCAGUUUUGGUGAAGUUUUCGGAUGGAACCGGAAUUGACUGAGUGGCGGACGGGUGAGUAACGCGUGGGUAACCUGCCUCACACAGGGGGAUAACAGUUAGAAAUGACUGCUAAUACCGCAUAAGCGCACGGAGACGCAUGUCUUUGUGUGAAAAGCUUUUACGGUGUGAGAUGGACCGGCGU
rnacentral:rRNA from 1 species